CUAGAUACUAGAUUUUCCACAAGUUCAUUAAGCUCAAAUCCUGACCAUAGCGGUGUUGCUUCAGACAACUGAUGGAUGAUAGUCCUUUGUAUUACUGCUGGGUAUUGGGGUGAUGAGGGGUGGACAGUUUCUUUUGGUGUAAAGGCUGUGUAUAUUCAAUCUUAGCUUGUCUUUGUACCUAACUAUGGUAUUUAAUAUGUUGGUGGUAAGGAUGUUCUCGAUUUCUAUAGUUAAUAUUUUUAUGGUGAUUCCCAGUAUUGAAUUAAACUGCUAGCCUGCAAAUAGAGGGGAAGUCGGUGUACCAACUUUCCUAGAACGGUUUGUUUGGACUUCCCAAAUCUAUAAAAGCUAAAUUCUGGACAGUUCCUCUCAUACUUUGAUAUAAUAGCUACGUGUGAUCUCUUCUGUCUAAAAUAAUCAUAAAAUCUUGUAUUUAUUAAAGGAUUGAAAGUUCAGAGGCAACGCAGACGAAGAAAAGCUGCAGUUAGGCACAGUGGCUACACCUGUGAGAGAAAGAAAGAAACACCCCACCAGCCUUGCAAGAAAGGACUUUAUUGUAUUGUCUGUGGAGCUGAAAUACUGCCAAAAGCAGAGGGAAUUUUGAGAAAAGCUUGCUGCAGUAAUAUUGAACUGAAAAUAAUCUGGAAACUCUUCAGAAAUACUAAUACAAGAAGUAAAGAAUCCAUUAAUAAUUGUAUGUGUGAACUAGAUGCCAGUUCAGAAGAUGAUAAUAUGAUGUUGAUCAUCUCAGAUGCUGCAAGCCUUAGUCAUCUGAAAGAAACUUUGACAGUUUAUCAGAUGCCAGUGAAAAG